UACGUAGGGGGCGAGCGUUGUCCGGAUUUAUUGGGCGUAAAGAGCUCGUAGGCGGUUUGGUAAGUCGGGUGUGAAAACCCCAGGCUCAACCUGGGGACGCCACCUGAUACUGCUAUGACUUGAGUCUGGUAGGGGACCACGGAAUUCCUGGUGUAGCGGUGAAAUGCGCAGAUAUCAGGAGGAACACCGAUUGCGAAGGCAGCUCGCUGGAACGUUACUGACGCUGAGACGCGAAAGCGUGGGGAGCAAACAGG
rnacentral:rRNA from 1 species